ACGGGUGAGUAACGCGUGGGAAUCUACCCUGAACUGCGGAAUAGCUCCGGGAAACUGGAAUUAAUACCGCAUGUGCCCUGAGGGGCAAAGAUUUAUCGGUUCAGGAUGAGCCCGCGUCCGAUUAGCUAGUUGGUGGGGUAAAGGCCUACCAAGGCGACGAUCGGUAGCUGGUCUAAGAGGAUGAUCAGCCACAUUGGGACUGAGACACGGCCCAAACUCCUACGGGAGGCAGCAGUGGGGAAUAUUGGACAAUGGGCGCAAGCCUGAUCCAGCCACGCCGCGUGAGUGAUGAAGGCCCUAGGGCUGUAAAGCUCUUUCAGUGGGGACGAUAAUGACGGUACCCACAGAAGAAGCCCCGGCUAACUUCGUGCCAGCAGCCGCGGUGAUACGAAGGGGGCUAGCGUUGUUCGGAAUUACUGGGCGUAAAGCGCACGUAGGCGGACAUUUAAGUCAGGGGUGAAAUCCCGGGGCUCAACCCCGGAACUGCCUUUGAUACUGGGUGUCUUGAGUCCGGAAGAGGUGAGUGGAAUUGCGAGU
rnacentral:rRNA from 1 species